rnacentral:lncRNA from 10 species
AUCCUAAUACCACAACAAGACAAACAUAAUAUAAAAAAAAGGAAAUGCAGGCUGGUGUGGUGGUGCAUGCUUAGAAUCCCAGCUACUCAGGAGGCUGAGGCAAGAUAAUUUGAACCCAAGUGUUUAAGACUAGCCUGCGCAACAUAGUGAUAAAGCACCUCAAAAAAAAAAAAAAAAAAAAAAAAGGCCAGAUGUGGUGGCUCAUGCCUGUAAUCCCAGCACUUUGGGAGACUGAAGUGGGCGGAUCACAAGGUUAAAAGUUCAAGGCCAACCUGGCCAACAUGGUGAAACCCCGUCUUUACUAAAAAUACAAAAAUUAGCUGGGUGUGGUGGCGCAUGCCUCUAAUCCCAGCUACUCAGGAGGCCAAGGCAGGAGAAUCGCUUGAACUCGGGAGGUGGAGGUUACAGUGAGCUGAGAUCACGCCACUGCACUCCAGCCUGGGCAACACAGUGAGACUCCAAAAAAAAAAAAAAGAAAAACAAACAAACCCCCCCCCCCAAAAACCAAUUUCUUAACAAAAUACCAACACAUGAAAUCUAACAAUAUAUAAAAAUAACACACCAUGACCAAGUGGAGUUCAUCUCAGGAAGGCAAGGAUAAUUUUACAUUGGAAAAUCAAUCAAUGUAGUUUACCGUAUUAGUAGAGGAAUUAAGAAAACUACAUGAUCAUAUCAAAGAUGCAGAAAAAGCUUUCAGUGAAAUUUGUAAUAAACACUCUCAGCAAUCUAGGAAUAAAUGAAAAUUCCCUUCAUCUAAUAAAAGACAUUCAUGAAAACCCACAGCAAACAUCAUACUUAAUGGUGAGAUACUGAAUGCUUUCCCUCUAGAUCUGAAACAAGGCAAGGAUGUCUUCUCUCAUCAUGCCUAUUCCAUCUCAUACUGGAAGUCCUAACUAAUGUGAUAAGGCAAGAUAAAUAAGUAAAAGGCAUGCAGAUUGGAAAGGAAGAAAUAAUAUUGCAUUUAUUAGCAGACAACCUGUUUACCUAGACUAUUCCAAAUAAUUUACAAAAGUACUUCUGGAACCAAAAAGUGAGUUUAGCAAGAUUGCAGGAUACAACACCAACAUACUAAAAUGAAUUAUGUUCCCAUAUUAGCAAUGAAUAAAUGGAAUAUGAAAGUUUAAAAAAAACAUUUAUAAUAGUGCCCCAAAAAUGCAGUAGUUAGGUACAAAUCUAACAAAAUGUGAGAUGUGAGGAAAGCUAUAAAAACAAUGAUGAAAGAAAUCAAAGAUAUAAAUAGAGAAAAGACAUUAGCAAGAUGGUGGAAUAGCAGCUUUCUACCAUCAUAUCCCCGCAGAAGCACUGAUUUUGACAAGUACCCAUGGAUGAGAGUACUUUGUGGAAGUCCAGAAGUCCAGCAGUGAAGUUCCAGCACAUCACUGGACACACUGAAGAAGCAGACAUCAAUCCCAUGGUCCACUACAGAUCCUUUGUAGCCUAGCAACAUGGAUGGCAGAGACAGCAGUUACAAUGUCAUCCUUCAUUUCCUCAAAACCAGUGGAUACAAACAU